ensembl:misc_RNA
CUGGCAGCCUGGGACAGAGUCUGGAAAUCCUGCAUCUAUCACCAGAUUAGGGAAUGGCUGUGCAAGCUUUGCUUCCUGCCAUCCAAUAUGCUUCAAUCCUAACAUGAUUCAUGACCCUCUAGGGAUGAAAGGGAAGUUCAGUCUCCAUGGCUUAUUUAGUCCUUGGCCUCU